GACUGCGUACCUUUUGUAUAAUGGGUCAGCGACUUAUAUUUUGUAGCGAGGUUAACCGAUUAGGGGAGCCGUAGCGAAAGCGAGUCUUAACUGGGCGCGUAGUUGCAAGGUAUAGACCCGAAACCCGGUGAUCUAGCCAUGGGCAGGUUGAAGGUUGAGUAACAUCAACUGGAGGACCGAACCCACUAACGUUGAAAAGUUAGGGGAUGACUUGUGGCUGGGGGUGAAAGGCCAAUCAAACCGGGAGAUAGCUGGUUCUCCCCGAAAUCUAUUUAGGUAGAGCCUCGGACGAAUUCCAUUGGGGGUAGAGCACUGUUAAGGCUAGGGGGUCAUCCCGACUUACCAACCCUUUGCAAACUCCGAAUACCAAAGAGAACUAUCCGGGAGACACACGGCGGGGGCUAACGUCCGUCGUGAAAAGGGAAACAACCCUGACCUCCAGCUAAGGCCCCUAAUUCAUGGCUAAGUGGGAAAGCAGGUGGGACGACCAAAACAACCAGGAGGUUGGCUUAGAAGCAGCCACCCUUUAAAGAAAGCGUAAUAGCUCACUAGUCGAGU
rnacentral:rRNA from 1 species